AGAGUUUGAUCCUGGCUCAGGACGAACGCUGGCGGCGCGCCUAACACAUGCAAGUCGAACGAGCGAAGAGGAGCUUGCUUUUCUGAGCGAGUGGCGAACGGGUGAGUAACGCGUGAGGAACCUGCCUCAAAGAGGGGGACAACAGUUGGAAACGACUGCUAAUACCGCAUAAGCCCACGGGUCGGCAUCGACCAGAGGGAAAAGGAGCAAUCCGCUUUGAGAUGGCCUCGCGUCCGAUUAGCUAGUUGGUGAGGUAACGGCCCACCAAGGCGACGAUCGGUAGCCGGACUGAGAGGUUGAACGGCCACAUUGGGACUGAGACACGGCCCAGACUCCUACGGGAGGCAGCAGUGGGGAAUAUUGCACAAUGGGGGAAACCCUGAUGCAGCGACGCCGCGUGGAGGAAGAAGGUCUUCGGAUUGUAAACUCCUGUUGUUGAGGAAGAUAAUGACGGUACUCAACAAGGAAGUGACGGCUAACUACGUGCCAGCAGCCGCGGUAAAACGUAGGUCACAAGCGUUGUCCGGAAUUACUGGGUGUAAAGGGAGCGCAGGCGGGAAGACAAGUUGGAAGUGAAAUCCAUGGGCUCAACCCAUGAACUGCUUUCAAAACUGUUUUUCUUGAGUAGUGCAGAGGUAGGCGGAAUUCCCGGUGUAGCGGUGGAAUGCGUAGAUAUCGGGAGGAACACCAGUGGCGAAGGCGGGCCUACUGGGCACCAACUGACGCUGAGGCUCGAAAGUGUGGGUAGCAAACAGGAUUAGAUACCCUGGAGUCCACACCGUAAACGAUGAUUACUGGUGUUGGGAGGAUUGACCCCUUCAGUGCCGCAGUUAACACAAUAAGUAAUCCACCUGGGGGAGUACGACCCGCAAGGUGAAACUCAAGGAGACGGGGGCCGCACAGCAGUGGAGUAUGUGGUUUAAUUCGACGCAACGCGAAGAACCUUACCAAGUCUUGACAUCCUGCGACGGACAUAGAAAUAUGUCUUUCCUUCGGGACGCAGAGACAGGUGGUGCAUGGUUGUCGUCAGCUCGUGUCGUGAGAUGUUGGGUUAAGUCCCGCAACGAGCGCAACCCUUAUGGUCAGUUACUACGCAAGAGGACUCUGGCCAGACUGCCGUUGACAAAACGGAGGAAGGUGGGGAUGACGUCAAAUCAUCAUGCCCUUUAUGACUUGGGCUACACACGUACUACAAUGGCGUUAAACAAAGAGAAGCAAGACCGCGAGGUGGAGCAAAACUCAGAAACAACGUCCCAGUUCGGACUGCAGGCUGCAACUCGCCUGCACGAAGUCGGAAUUGCUAGUAAUCGUGGAUCAGCAUGCCACGGUGAAUACGUUCCCGGGCCUUGCACACACCGCCCGUC
rnacentral:rRNA from 1 species